ensembl:lncRNA
GCUCUGUGCACACACUUUCCUCCUGCCCCUCUCGGCACACUGCAGGUCUGGAGCUCUGGCAGCCAGUAUGCUGAGUGGCCAACGUGGUAGCAGUGGCUCCUUCCUGUCUCUUUCCCCUACUGCAGUGAACGCCCUUCUCUCCAAUUCCUGCCCAUCCCUCAAAGCUCUGCUCCAGUCGUGCUGCUUCUGGGCAACUCUGAGGACCUCUCAGCCCCCAGGAGCAUGCCUUCCUCUCAUUUGUCCAUUCAACUUGACCGGCAAACAGUCGGGGGUGAUGACAGAGCUCCCCAUCCCCUACCGCUCCCCGCCUGGCUCCUGGAGAGCAGGAAGCAGCAGGUAACGAGGCUUCAGGAAAGUCACCUGGAUGUCAUCGGCAGUGGGCGGUAGCCCCCAGUACUGUGGGGGAGCAAGUAGGAAGGUAUAGAACACUCAGUGUCUGACCUCAGGGCCCCCCCCAGCCUGAGCAAGAGGCACCCACACUUCCUGGCCUGGCUCCUGGAUGACCUUGGCCCACAGAACUCGGGCCAGGCCCACCUGGCUGCCCAGAGGGUACUUCAGGCUGGGAGAGGGGAGGUUCUGGAUCAAGCCUCUGCCCUCCCUAUGCCAAAUGGGGCUUCUGUUUUUUUCUGCUGAGGCAGGAGGAUGGCUAAAAUUCACUCAACUCACUCCAGCCAGAGGAGGAGGCUGUAUCCCAGGUUUUUCAGUCCCAUUCAGACCUCAGUCCAUGGUGAGGCCCAGAGGUCAAUUUGGACCUACUGGGUCAGCCUACCUGUCCCCAUCAAAGCAUCUUCUGCUUCCCGCCCUGCCUCCCCCAGCUUCCUGGUGACUGCCACCCACCAGUAUCAGAGGACUUAUCCCAUCCCGCUUAUGCCAGUCGUCUUCACCUUAGGUUUUCCCUCAAGGCCCUAGGAACAGACGGGGCUGGGGCUGGAAGGGGACUGAUGCCUGCGGUGGCAACCCAUCACCUGAAGAGUCGACCAUCCUGACCUGCCACUGGUCAGUUCAUCCAGCCUCCAGCCUCAGCACUGCGCCUGCCUCUGCCAAACUCAGGAAAAGAAGAAAACUUGGGUGAAGAAAAUGGCGGCCAUCCUCCCUGACGUCUGUUCUUUCCAUUGUCCAGCCUUCUCCUGCAGUCUCAUGGGCUUCCCCUGGCUGCCAGGCCUUCAAGUCAGAGAGGACAGGGCAAGAAAAAGGCCCUGGAGGCAGGAGGGGUCCUGGGGUGAGAACCAAUAGAGGGGAGGUUGCCAGGGAGGAAAGGACACUGCGGGUGUGCCUCGGGUGUGUGCUCCUGUUCACUGGGCGCUGUUCCCAUGGGGAUGGUCAGCCAGCCGAGGCCCCUGCUUCAUCACUUGCUGUCUGCUGGAGAACAUCAAACAGUUCGGGACUGGGUCCGUCUUGGUCAUCUUUCGCCCUUGAUUCUGAAUUUCUCUUAUUUUAGCUGUAUGUCCUCCUACCUCAUCUUGGAGAGAAGAUUCUAGAGACCAUGGAGAAAAGGAGAAAAAACGUUCUUCCUAAAUAUCCCUCUUAACCUUUCUUCACCAUUUAACACCCAUACCUACGUCUCUGUCCAGGCUUUCAUCUUUUCUUACCCAAAAAUUAUUUCAACAGGACCCCUGAAAAGUCCCCCCAGACUCCUUAUUUCCCUCUAACCUAUUCCCCAGAACUUCCAUUGUCGUCUUGCUAAUGUGAGGAUGUAACCAUGCCGUGUCUCUGUUCAGCACCCUUCAAUGCAGUACUGCCCUUAGAGCCAGCAAGAGGGCCCCCUGCUCCAGGACCCUCAAAAGAUGAAUACGACACUGGUGCAACGUUUGCUGAAACACGCUUGGAUGCCUAGAUGAUGCAGGAUCUGGUCCUGAGUGCUGCCUGGCACAACCCAGAACUUUAAACAUCUGCUCUUGUGAUUAACACGGAUCCAGGAUGGUCUUGCUCUAAGAUUGUGAAGCAAAAAGCAGCUGUGUCUGUAUGCCAUCCCAACGUUACUCUACGAGUGAUGUCAGUGAACGCUGUGCAAGUGCUCAGGCGAAAUGAAAAGGAAAUGGAUGUACUUGCUAAAUCCUUCCUUGCAGCUAGCAUACAUGCAAU